AGAGUUUGAUCCUGGCUCAGGACGAACGCUGGCGGCAUGCCUAACACAUGCAAGUCGAACGGGAAGCGCGGCCAAAGCCCUCCGGGGCAGAGGCAGCGUAGAGAGUGGCGAACGGGUGAGUAACGCGUGGACAACCUGCCCUCCGGAGAGAGACAGCCUCCGGAAACGGGGAUUAAUACCUCAUAACCCGGCCCCCUGGCAUCAGGGAGCCGGCAAAGCGCACGAGCGCCGGGGGAUGGGUCCGCGUGCCAUUAGCCAGCUGGCGGGGUAAGAGCCCACCAGGGCGACGAUGGCUAGCCGGCCUGAGAGGGUGGACGGCCACAUUGGAACUGAGAGACGGUCCAGACUCCUGCGGGAGGCAGCAGUGGGGAAUAUUGCGCAAUGGAGGAAACUCUGACGCAGCGAUGCCGCGUGGGCGAAGAAGGGCUCCGGCCCGUAAAGCCCUGCCGCCGGGGAAGAGUAAAGACGGUACCCGGCAAGCAAGCCCCGGCCAAUCACGUGCCAGCAGCCGCGGUAAGACGUGAGGGGCGAGCGUUGUCCGGAAUCACUGGGCGUAAAGGGCGCGCAGGCGGCUGCGCGGGUGGGAUGUCAAAGCCCGGGGCCCAACCCCGGAGAGGCCUUCCAAACCGCGCGGCUCGGGUGCUGGAGGGGCAGGCAGAAUUCCUGGUGUAGCGGUGAAAUGCGCAGAGAUCAGGAGGAAUACCAGAGGCGAAGGCGGCCUGCCGGACAGACACUGACGCUUAGGCGCGAAAGCGCGGGGAGCAAACAGGAUUAGAUACCCUGGUAGUCCGCGCCGUAAACGAUGAAUGCCGGGCUCCGGAGGUCUUCGGGGCCCAAGCCAACGCGCAAGCAUUCCGCCUGGGGAGUACGGCCGCAAGGCUGAAACUCAAAGGAAUUGACGGGGGCCCGCACAAGCGGAGGAACAUGUGGUUUAAUUCGAUGAUACGCGAGGAACCUUACCCGGGCUUGAACUGCAGCAGAACGAUUCAGAGAUGAUGAGGCCCUUCGGGGCUGCUGUGGAGGUGCUGCAUGGUUGUCGUCAGCUCGUGCCGUGAGGUGUCGGCUUAAGUGCCAUAACGAGCGCAACCCCUCUCGCCAGUUGCCAGCAUGUAAUGGUGGGCACUCUGGCGACACUGCCACCGUAAGGUGUGAGGAAGGUGGGGAUGACGUCAAAUCAGCACGGCCCUUACGUCCGGGGCUACACACGUGUUACAAUGGGUGGUACAGAGAGUCGGUCCAAUGCAAAUUGGAUCCAAUCCUUAAAGCCAUCCUCAGUUCGGAUUGGGGUCUGCAACCCGACCCCAUGAAGCUGGAUUCGCUAGUAAUCGCGCAUCAGCCAUGGCGCGGUGGAUACGUUCCCGGGCCUUGCACACACCGCCCGUCA
rnacentral:rRNA from 1 species